GAUGAACGCUGGCGGCGUGCCUAAUACAUGCAAGUCGAGCGAACAGACGAGGAGCUUGCUCCUCUGACGUUAGCGGCGGACGGGUGAGUAACACGUGGAUAACCUACCUAUAAGACUGGGAUAACUUCGGGAAACCGGAGCUAAUACCGGAUAAUAUAUUGAACCGCAUGGUUCAAUAGUGAAAGACGGUUUUGCUGUCACUUAUAGAUGGAUCCGCGCCGCAUUAGCUAGUUGGUAAGGUAACGGCUUACCAAGGCAACGAUGCGUAGCCGACCUGAGAGGGUGAUCGGCCACACUGGAACUGAGACACGGUCCAGACUCCUACGGGAGGCAGCAGUAGGGAAUCUUCCGCAAUGGGAGAAAGCUUGACGGAGCAACGCCGCGUGAGUGAUGAAGGUCUUCGGAUCGUAAAACUCUGUUAUUAGGGAAGAACAAAUGUGUAAGUAACUAUGCACGUCUUGACGGUACCUAAUCAGAAAGCCACGGCUAACUAAGUG
rnacentral:rRNA from 1 species